rnacentral:rRNA from 1 species
CAGUCGCCACGGGAAUACGUAGGGUGCAAGCGUUAAUCGGAAUUACUGGGCGUAAAGCGUGCGCAGGCGGUUUGUUAAGACAGAUGUGAAAUCCCCGGGCUCAACCUGGGAACUGCAUUUGUGACUGGCAAGCUAGAGUGUGGCAGAGGGGGGUGGAAUUCCGCGUGUAGCAGUGAAAUGCGUAGUUAUGCGGAGGAACACCGAUGGCGAAGGCAGCCCCCUGGGCCAACACUGACGCUCAUGCACGAAAGCGUGGGGAGCAAACAGGAUUAGAUACCCCAGUAGUCCCUGUCUCUUAUAC